rnacentral:rRNA from 1 species
AAAUCGAGGGUGAGAAACCCUCGCGCCGGAUGACCAAGGGUUCCUGGGGCAGGCUAAUCCGCCCAGGGUAAGUCGGGACCUAAGGCGAGGCCGACAGGCGUAGUCGAUGGACAACGGGUUGAUAUUCCCGUACCCGCUUCAAUGCGCCCAUAUCGAACCUCGUGAUGCUAAGAGUCCUUAAGUCCCCUGAUGUCCUUCGGGACUAGGGGUGAGGCUGAACGCUCGAUCCGAUCGGGUAGUAGGUAAGCGAUGGGGUGACGCAGGAAGGUAGUCCAGCCCAGGCGAUGGUUGUCCUGGGGUAAGCAUGUAGGGAGCGAGGUAGGUAAAUCCGCCUCGUAUAUAUCCUGAGAUGUGAUGCCGAGCCGAUUGUGGUGAAGUGGAUGAUCCUAUGCUGCCGAGAAAAGCCUCUAGUGAGUGUUGUGGCGGCCCGUACCCUAAACCGACUCAGGUGGUCAGGUAGAGAAUACCAAGGCGAUCGGGUGAACUGUGGUUAAGGAACUCGGCAAAUUGCCCCCGUAACUUCGGGAGAAGGGGGACCUCUGCUGGUGAUGGGCUUUACGUUCUGAGCUGGUGGGGGUCGCAGUGGCCAGGGGGAAGCGACUGUUUACUAAAAAUACAGGUCCGUGCGAAGUCGUAAGACGAUGUAUACGGACUGACGCCUGCCCGGUGCCGGAACGUUAAGGGGACCGCUUAGCCAACGCGAGUUGGCGAAGGUGAGAACUUAAGCGCCGGUAAACGGCGGUGGUAACUAUAACCAUCCUAAGGUAGCGAAAUUCCUUGUCGGGUAAGUUCCGACCUGCACGAAUGGCGUAACGACUUCCCCGCUGUCUCAACCACAGACCCGGCGAAAUUGCACUACGAGUAAAGAUGCUCGUUUCGCGCAGCAGGACGGAAAGACCCCGGGACCUUCACUACAGCUUGACAUUGGCGUUUGGAACGUCUUGUGUAGGAUAGGUGGGAGACUGGGAAGCUGUCACGCUAGUGAUGGUGGAGUCAUUGGUGAAAUACCACUCUGGUCGUUUUGAACGUCUAACUCUGGUCCGUGAUCCGGAUCGGGGACAGUGUCUGGUGGGUAGUUUAACUGGGGCGGUUGCCUCCUAAAGAGUAACGGAGGCGCCCAAAGGUUCCCUCAGCCUGGUUGGCAAUCAGGUGUUGAGUGUAAGUGCACAAGGGAGCUUGACUGUGAGACUGACAGGUCGAACAGGAGCGAAAGCUGGGACUAGUGAUCCGGCAUCGGCGUGUGGAAGCGGUGUCGCUCAACGGCUAAAAGGUACCCCGGGGAUAACAGGCUGAUCUUCCCCAAGAGUCCAUAUCGACGGGAUGGUUUGGCACCUCGAUGUCGGCUCGUCGCAUCCUGGGGCUGGAGUAGGUCCCAAGGGUUGGGCUGUUCGCCCAUUAAAGCGGUACGCGAGCUGGGUUUAGAACGUCGCGAGACAGUUCGGUCCCUAUCCGCUGCGCGCGCAGGAGACUUGAAGGGGGCUGUCCCUAUUACGAGAGGACCGGGACGGACGAACCUCUGGUGUGCCAGUUGUACCGCCAGGUGCACGGCUGGUUGGCUACGUUCGGAAGGGAUAACCGCUGAAAGCAUCUAAGCGGGAAGCUCGCCUUGAGAUGAGGUCUCCCACCCUGUGAGGGGGUAAGGCUCCCGGUAGAUCACCGGGUUGAUAGGCCGGAGGUGGAAGCACGGUAACGUGUGGAGCUGACCGGUACUAAUAGGCCGAGGACUUGACC